rnacentral:snRNA from 1 species
GUGCUCGCUUCGGCAGCACGUAUACUAAAAUGGAAAUGAUAUAGAGAAGAUUACCAUGGCCCUGCAUAAGGAUGACAUGCAAAUUUGCGAAGCAUUCCAUAUAUGU